GUCACAAAAUCUCUCGUAGUAAAAGCUGUAAUGGAGCAAAUAGCUUCUUCCCAUGCGUGGCUAAAUUUGUUCUUAAAUGAGGUGGAUCUAAUGAGCCAAAGCAUCACAUUGAGCAGUCCAAUCCUAAAUGAUCUUAAAAAGAGCCAGACAUAUCCUAAAUGAAUCAUUCAUUUGGAGGCUAGGCAUCGAAUGCAGCAAUGAAAUACUGCAAGUACCUUUACCCA
rnacentral:lncRNA from 1 species